ACUUAGCUGAGAGGUGGUGCAUGGCCGUCGUCAGUUCGUACUGUGAAGCAUCCUGUUAAGUCAGGCAACGAGCGAGACCCACGUCCACAGUUGCCAGCAUACCCUCCGGGGUGAUGGGUACACUGUGGAGACCGCCGCUGCUAAAGCGGAGGAAGGAGUGGGCAACGGUAGGUCAGUAUGCCCCGAAUCUCCCGGGCUACACGCGGGCUACAAUGGUUGGUACAAUGGGCAUCUACCCCGAAAGGGGAAGGAAAUCUCUUAAAGCCAAUCGUAGUUCGGAUUGAGGGCUGCAACUCGCCCUCAUGAAGCUGGAAUCCGUAGUAAUCGCGUUUCAACAGAACGCGGUGAAUACGUCCCUGCUCCUU
rnacentral:rRNA from 1 species